AUGCACCGCUCUGUCGGGAUUCAGAGUUGCUCACCCGGAAGUAUGCCAGCCUCUCAGCGCGAAGUAGCCCUAGAACUACCACCUACACUCGGAAUAUACCUUGUCGGCAACCCGCCGUUGUCCACGCACAACCAAAAGGAGCUAGAAAGGUACCAGGGACAGUCGCCGAAGGAGGCAGCAGAGCAUCGAGAUGACACGAAGAGCGGCAAGGGAGCAGAGCAACUGACUGCAAAGAAAUUCCGUGAGUCCUCGGCUUUCGCUGCGCCAAGGGGAACCCUAUCCCCUUCAGCAAGGAUCGAAGACGCUGCACCACUGAAAGCGAGUUCUACUCCCCCUUACUCGAAAUACUUGCAUUCCUUGUGGGAGGGGUGUAGCAGGUUCAUAUUAAAGCCAUUGGCUAUGACUUUAAGGUGUCACCAAUCUACCAAUUUUGAUGUGGAAAGCCUUGCUCUUUUCACCAUUGGACAACUUCCAUUUUUGGCUACCACCACUAGAAAACUUAGAUCACCAUUUGGUGAAUGUACUAAGCCAAAGAUCCCUCAUGGCACAUUCGAGAGUCAUGGUGAUCCUAAGACACGCACACAGGCAAGAUUAAUUGGACAUACACAUGAUGAACGGUAUCCAUAUGAUAGUGAAUUCAAUAUUCUUCAUAUGGCAACAAAUUUAGGAUAUAUAAUAGCCACACAACAUCAUUGGGAAUUUCCUCGUGUCACCGAUGUUGUUGUAAUUUUGGCAUCACCGUUGUUGUUAACCACCGGGAUGCUCAUCAUGCAGCCAUUCAAGUCAGAUUUGCCUGAGCUUAUGGACAUUACUCACAUUUGCUGCCUCAUACUGAAUGUUGGUGGACCACCACUAGAAAGGGCUUAUGCCUCAGAUAAGACGAGUCAUUCUGCUGAGGUCAAGCCUGAAUUGGAGAUGCUGAAACGUGUUCAUAGGACCACUCCUGUUAUGGAAGACAAAGGAGUAAAAUACUGGAAGGUGGGUAGCUAUUGUAAUUGCAAUAUAAGCAUAAUGCGUCAAGAAUUCGAUGAAGAAAAUAGAACGAAGAACAAAGACAUGUGGUUCAUGUUCACUGAAGACGAACAUAAAGUUGUUGAAGAUCAUGUAACUACAAGGAAGCCAUGCUCAGUUGCUCACCUGUUCGCGUCUUGCACAACAUCAUUGAUCUUCUGGCGGAUGAUUUUUUCAUUCCUUCCUUCGCUGCAUAGAACUGUGUGUCCCGACGUCUGCGGAGAAAUCAUAACUGGGUGUAAUGAUUUACUGAUCCCAGUCUCCUGCUCGUUCAACUGGUUGAUGGAAGCAUAUGUAAAAGAUAGUGGAGAUGUGCAGAAAUUUGCACAGGAGAUCUCAGUUGCUUCUUCAAACCCCUUCCCCCAUGCUAUAUCAGGAAAAAGCUAG
rnacentral:rRNA from 1 species